AUGUGGGUCCUGGGGCCCAAGUGCCUGGGGCCCCAGUCCCGGAUACCUGUCAGCCCUGUGCCCCCGCUGCCCCGCCAGGUGCGCCCGCUGGAGCGCCGCAAGUACAUGCUCAAGUCCUUGGACCAGAUCGAGACGGUGAAUGGCGGUGGGGCGGCCAGUCGGCUGACCUUCCCGGACCGCGAGGCGCUGGCCGAGCACGCCGACCUCAAGAGCAUGGUGGAGCUGAUCAAGCGCAUGCUGACGUGGGAGUCGCACGAGCGCAUCAGCCCCAGUGCGGCCCUGCGCCACCCCUUCGUGUCCAUGCAGCAGCUGCGCAGCGCCCACGAGACCACCCGCUACUACCAGCUGUCGCUGCGCGGCUGCCGCCUCUCGCUGCAGGUGGAGGGCAAGCCCGUCGUGGCCGCCACAGAAGACGGGCCCCCCUACUACCGCCUGGCCGAGGAGGAGGAGGAGGCCGUGGGCGUGGGCAGUGUGGCGGGCAGCGGGCCCUUCUUCCGAGAGGAGAAGGCACCGGGCGUGCAGAGAGCCAUCGACCAGCUGGACGACCUGAGUCUGCAGGAGGCGGGCCGCGGGCUGUGGGGGGAGACCCGCGCCGACGUGGUCUCCGACAUGCUGACCCCUCUCAAGGCAGCGGCCACUGGCCGCCGGGUGCCAGACUCAGGGCCCGAGCCCAUUCUGGCUUUCUACGGCAGCCGCCUGCCGGGCCGCCACAAGGCCCGCAAGCCACCCGCGGGUUCCAAGUCUGACUCCAACUUUAGCAACCUCAUCCGGCUGAGCCAGGCCUCGCCCGAGGAUGACGGGCCCUGCCUGCGCAGCGGCUGGGAGGAAGGAGAGCGUCGCGGGGCCUCUGCUGAGCCGCCUGCCAUCCCAAAGCGGGAUGGGGAUGGGCCCAACAUCCAGGACAUGGCCAUGGACGCUGAG